UUGUUGCGGUUAAAAAGCUCGUAGUUGGAUUUCUGUGGUGGGCAGCCGGUCCGCACUAUGUGCGAGUAUCUGGUUCGACCACUGCAUCCUUCUGAAGAACGAUGGGGCGCUUUAUUGCGUCGCGCGGUAUUCAGAACUUUUACUUUGAGGAGAUUAGAGUGUUCACGGCAGGCGUUUGCCAUGAAUAUAUUAGCAUGGAAUAAUAAUAUAGGAAGCUUUGCCUAUUUUGUUGGUUUCUAGGCGAAGCUUAAUGAUUAGUGGGGACUGUUGGGGGCACUCGUAUUAUGACGUCAGAAGUGGAAUUC
rnacentral:rRNA from 1 species